CCUACGGGAGGCAGCAGUGAGGAAUAUUGGUCAAUGGCCGUAAGGCUGAACCAGCCAAGUCGCGUGAAGGAAGAAGGAUCUAUGGUUUGUAAACUUCUUUUAUAGGGGAAUAAAGGUAUCCACGUGUGGAUAUUUGCAUGUACCCUAUGAAUAAGCAUCGGCUAACUCCGUGCCAGCAGCCGCGGUAAUACAGAGGAUGCGAGCGUUAUCCGGAUUUAUUGGGUUUAAAGGGUGCGUAGGUUGUUUUUUAAGUCAGCGGUGAAAGUUUGUGGCUCAACCAUAAAAUUGCCGUUGAAACUGGAAGACUUGAGUGUGUUUGAGGUAGGCGGAAUGCGUGGUGUAGCGGUGAAAUGCAUAGAUAUCACGCAGAACUCCGAUUGCGAAGGCAGCUUACUAAGCCAUAACUGACACUGAAGCACGAAAGCGUGGGGAGCAAACAGGAUUAGAUACCCGUGUAGUC
rnacentral:rRNA from 1 species